AGCAGCCGCGGUAAUUCCAGCUCCAAUAGCGUAUAUUAAAGUUGUUGCAGUUAAAAAGCUCGUAGUUGAAUUUCGGGAUCAGUUUGUUGGUCGUGCUUCGGUACGUACUGUCAUUACUGGUUUCUACCUUCUGAAGAACCUUGAUGUCAUUAAUUUGGUGUCUUGGGGAAUCAGGACUGUUACUUUGAAAAAAUUAGAGUGUUUAAAGCAAGCAUACGCUUGAAUACAUUAGCAUGGAAUAAUGAAAUAGGACGUUUGAUUCUAUUUUGUUGGUUUCUAGGAUCGACGUAAUGAUUAAUAGGGAUAGUUGGGGGCAUUAGUAUUCAAUUGUCAGAGGUGAAAUUCUUGGAUUUAUUGAAGACUAACUACUGCGAAAGCAUUUGCCAAGGAUGUUUUCAUUAAUCAAGAACGAAAGUUAGGGGAUCGAAGACGAUCAGAUACCGUCGUAGUCUUAACCAUAAACUAUGCCGACUAGGGAUCGGAUGAUGUUAAUUUUUUAAUGACUCAUUCGGCGCCUUACG
rnacentral:rRNA from 1 species